UCUAGGACAGUUUGUUGGGAUGCUCUAGGACAGCACCCUCUUGCCCUAGCAUGGCUGCUACAAGCAGCUAUAAAUAUGUAUCCAAUUCUCUUUGGGAGGAUAUGGCUUUGUGUUUUGUGAAUGAAGAAAACCAGAAAAUUGCCUCAUCUCAAGUGCCAUCCUCUUCUCAAUGAGAGUAACCAUUGAAAUUCUAACAUCCUCUCACGUCUUCUGAUUCGAAGUAAGACUUUUUCUAGGUCUUCGAAGCGCCUCUUGUCAUCGCAGUGUUCAGUUUGCUCCGGCGAAAUCCCAAGCACCGCUCGUUUCUUAAGGCAGCUGCGCGCGGAUUGCUUGGCCUCCCCAUUGGUGGUGCGUUCCUAAAUGCAUUUGGAGCAAU